AUUGAACGCUGGCGGCAUGCCUUACACAUGCAAGUCGAACGGUAACAGGUCUUCGGAUGCUGACGAGUGGCGAACGGGUGAGUAAUACAUCGGAACGUGCCUAGUAGUGGGGGAUAACUACUCGAAAGAGUGGCUAAUACCGCAUGAGAUCUACGGAUGAAAGCAGGGGAUCGCAAGACCUUGUGCUACUAGAGCGGCCGAUGGCAGAUUAGGUAGUUGGUGGGAUAAAAGCUUACCAAGCCGACGAUCUGUACCUGGUCUGAGAGGACGAUCGUCCACACUGGGACUGAGACACGGCCCAGACUCCUACGGGAGGCAGCAGUGGGGAAUUUUGGACAAUGGGCGCAAGCCUGAUCCAGCAAUGCCGCGUGCAGGAUGAAGGCCUUCGGGUUGUAAACUGCUUUUGUACGGAACGAAAAGCCCUGGGUUAAUACCCUGGGGUCAUGACGGUACCGUAAGAAUAAGCACCGGCUAACUACGUGCCAGCCGCCGCAGUAAUAC
rnacentral:rRNA from 1 species